UCUCUCUCUCUCUCUCUCUCUCUCUCUCUCUCACCCUCUCCCGUGGUCACUAUAUUUAGCGGCAAGCCUGUGGAGUUUGCAACAAUGGAAGCCCCUCUCUCAUGAUCCUCUUCUCUUCAUCUUCGUCAUCUUCCUCCUUUCCUUUCCCUCUGCGUCUGAAACAACCCCAUAUGAACAUUACUUACAAAACCCUAGCUUAAUUGCUUGCUUACUGCUAGCAAGGGGGUUUUCGUUGGAUUUUGCCCUCUUCUUAAUUUUGCCUAUUCAAAAGGGUUUCUUCAUUAAUUAGAAUCCAGUUCUUGAUUGUAGUUGAGCCCUAGCUAGUUGUUUAGACCUUUUGGCCACUCCAAAACCCUGUCUUGGGUUCCUUUUUCUCCUUCCAUAAGCUCAAAUGGCUUCUUCUACAUCCAGCUCUGCUUCUGCUAACUAGCAUCUUCAUAUUCCAUGCCAUAUUCUAGAUAUCGCUUGGCAAUGAACAAUUUCUUCUUCUUUUUUCCUUGUGACAUUGCAUUUCACAAUUCUAGGUAUAUAUGUAUGGAAACAAUCGAACAUGCUUGUGUGAGUAUUUUUUUUUCUUUUGCAUAUUUAAACAUGCAUUGCUCGAGCAUAAUUGUAUGUGCCUGGCUCCCUGUAUGCCAUUUGCAGAGCCCAUCGGAGAUUCGACGGCCUCCGUGGAUGGCGUAUGAGGAGCCAUGCAUAUAUCCCACUUGUUCUUUCAAUGUGGAGUCAGUUAUAAUUCAGGUCUUUCUUAUUAACUAAUUUAUUAAGCUAAUUAAUUAUCGGCUUCUUCUUCUUCUUCUUCGAUUAUUUCCUUCUCCCAAACUAGGAGUCGUAUAAUCUUCCGAUGGCAAGUUCAAGUCCGACAAGAGGAUCACUGCAAAUUCUGUAAAUGAAGGCGGAACAGAGGUCCUUGUUCCUGAGGGAAAGAGACUUUGAUUCGAGGCAGAGGAACUUGGGGUCGAAGCUGCAGGGAGGAGGGAGUUCAGUACAGCAGCAGCACAGUAAACAAUACAUUGCAGUCUAUAGCUCGGAGGCUCGAGAAAGGUAAGUAGCAAUGGCAGCAGCUUCGGGAGCUCGGAUAGAGCUCCAGAAGUAACAGUAGCGCUUGGAACUUGAGGGAGGAGGGAGAACUAGCGGCUGGAGCUUGAGGAGAGGCAGCAAACGAGUAGCAACAGAGUAGUGGAGGCAGCAGCAGUGGCACAAAAGCAACUGGGAGAGGAGCAGAGGAGUCACAUCAGUGGCAGGAGCAGAUGAAUCUUGGUGGAGCAAAUGCAGAUGCACUGACUUCCUUAAAUGUAGAUGGAGACAAUAGUAGUUCAGGUCUUCUGCUUUUCUCCUGUUCCUUUGUCUCUUUACCUUUCAAGCCCAAAUGUCCUGGCUAGCUUAGUAGCCAGCUAACAAUGUUCUGUAAGGGAAGGGAAGGCAGAAGGUAGAGGAGUGAAGAUGGCGUGAGGGCGAGAGAAAGGGAGGAAAGGAAGUUGAAGAUGGUGAUGGAGGAGAUGAUGAUGGCGCUUUAAUGAUGAGCAUAGAAUGGAGAGGAUUCAGAUAGUGAGAUGGAGGUGAUGGAGGUGAUGAAGAUGGAGAAGGAAAGGGCUACGGUGGUGAUGGUGAGGGCAGAGGCCGAGAGAGAGGAAGGGGAAGGGCAGGCAGAAGGAAGAAAGAAGGAAGGUGGAAGGUGGCGUCUUUCUCUGUCUGUCUAUGUUUGUUACUAUCUAAGAGAGGGAGAAGGGACUGGGAACCAUGAGGGUGCGUCCACAUGUGCAAAAAUAGAGCUACGGACGUCAAUAUUUCGUUUAAUUUUUGACGGAAUGUUAAUGAUAUGAUGUGCAGUGAAAAAUAUUUAAAAAUCUAUUACACCUCGUGAAAAUAUUUGAAUUUA